GGACCUUUUAAAUUAUCUCUGGUCCCUUAUCCCAAAACAUCUUACUGAUGAUUACUUCAAGAAGAAGCAGCUGAGGAAGCCCAGACACUAGGAAGGUGAGAUCUUUGACACAGAAAAAGAGAAAUAUGAGAUUGCAGAGCAGCCCAAGAUUGAUCAGAAAGCUGUGGACUCACAAAUUUUACCAAAAAUCAAAAGUAUUCCUCAGCUCCAGUGCUACCUGCGAUCUGUGUUUGCUCUGACGAAUGGAAUUUAUCCUCACAAAUUGGUGUUUUAAAU
rnacentral:lncRNA from 1 species